rnacentral:rRNA from 1 species
GAUGAACGCUGGCGGCGUGCCUAAUACAUGCAAGUCGAGCGAACAGACGAGGAGCUUGCUCCUGUGACGUUAGCGGCGGACGGGUGAGUAACACGUGGAUAACCUACCUAUAAGACUGGGAUAACUUCGGGAAACCGGAGCUAAUACCGGAUAAUAUAUUGAACCGCAUGGUUCAAUAGUGAAAGACGGUUUUGCUGUCACUUAUAGAUGGAUCCGCGCCGCAUUAGCUAGUUGGUAAGGUAACGGCUUACCAAGGCGACGAUGCGUAGCCGACCUGAGAGGGUGAUCGGCCACACUGGAACUGAGACACGGUCCAGACUCCUACGGGAGGACGCAGUAGGGAAUCUUCCGCAAUGGGCGAAAGCCUGACGGAGCAACGCCGCGUGAGUGAUGAAGGUCUUCGGAUCGUAAAACUCUGUUAUUAGGGAAGAACAAAUGUGUAAGUAACUAUGCACGUCUUGACGGUACCGAAUCAGAAAGCCACGGCUAACUACGUG